rnacentral:rRNA from 1 species
CAGCAGCCGCGGUAAAACGGAGGGAGCUAGCGUUGUUCGGAAUUACUGGGCGUAAAGCGCACGUAGGCGGUUACUCAAGUCAGAGGUGAAAGCCCGGGGCUCAACCCCGGAACUGCCUUUGAAACUAGGUGACUAGAAUCUUGGAGAGGUCAGUGGAAUUCCGAGUGUAGAGGUGAAAUUCGUAGAUAUUCGGAAGAACACCAGUGGCGAAGGCGACUGACUGGACAAGUAUUGACGCUGAGGUGCGAAAGCGUGGGGAGCAAACAGGAUUAGAUACCCCCGUAGUCCCUGUCUCUUAUAC